CGAACAAAAUCAUUGACACGGGGAUCAAGGACCAACUAGUAAAUUGGAAUGUGAGAACACACGAACAGAACAGCAAGUGCAAAAAUAUAGUUUCCUGUCAGUCAACUCUCACCAGGAUAAUAGUGAACUCGGGUGAAAAAUACGCCGAGUAUGGCCAAGAAGAACAAGACCGGCGGAACAGCCUCUCACAAAGGCCCACAAAGCCCAUUAAGAGCGUUUGCAUUGGUAGCGGCCAUCAGUACUUUGAUCUUGGUCAUUUUGGACGCUGGUCUUUUUGUGACUUAUAUGUUGUAUCAUUUUUGUGUCACCCAGUUAUGGCAUCCCUCUCCUUUUCAAAUUGGUGCCAUUUUUUACUCAAACUAUAUUGCCGGCGAUAGUUGCAUGUAUUCAGACGGUACUUCAAUCACAUUGGAGUGGCUUGAGUUCGGGAUAGCUGACCAGCCACCCAUAGAGUCAUCUUUCCAUCCAUAUAACGCCACAAAUUCAGACAAUACGUUAAUUUGGAUGAUUGUGGGCUUGGUUUUGGACAUCUUUUGGCUUGCUAGUUCAAUUUCAUUAUACUCUAAAAAAAAGUUGCGGACCAGAAUAAGUUCCUCGUUUUACCCUUGGCUGUAUCUCACGACCUUGGUUUUGUGCUUUCAACUAAUUGGCACCUGUUGGUAUGGAACUGAACUCAAGACGUAUAUGAACCUACAAUAUGCAGAUUUGACCGGCCUUGAAUCUGAAGUAAAAAACCAACUGAUUGCCAUCCUUAUUUUGCCUCUCUACUUUUCGAAAGAAGUCAUUAUUUGGUUCUAUUUUCUCAUUCUCCUCAUAAUUGGUUGGGUCAAAGUGGAAAAGGAAAAAAAGAAUUUGUUGAAAGCCCCGACCAUGUUUGGUAACAACAGUCGCAAUGGAAAUCCUUUGGAUGGCGGAAACAAUCAGGUACUAAACCGAAGAGCCUUGGAUCUAUCCAACGACCACGAUAACUUCUCUGACGAUGAACGCGAUGCACCUUAUUUCAACAAUGGUUUAAACCUUUUGAAACAAGCUUCCGAAAGGCGAACUUCGGGGAACUGGAUGUUCGCUAACGAUGGAUUCGAGCCCGAAUAUGCCGCACCAUUUGGACAAACAGAGUCCGGUUUGCAGCCGCACUUACCUGAAUCGAAUUUCACUAACCCGUACAUGGUGUCUUCUGUGCCCGGAUACAACACCGUUCAACCAGGGACCCACCUUUCUUCCAACUACGAACAAUCGGGAUCCCAGCGACCUCUCACGAUCCAAGAGAGUUUGGACAUCACACUGAGAAACCGCCCUCGAAAAUUGUCAGAUACCUACAUGAGUGACGUGGACUCUGUGGUAUCAGAAUACGAUCGGGAUCACCGGCGAUUAGGUCGUCCCGUGAUUCCCGAGCGUGACUAUCCAUUACCACGAGCCCAUUCCAAGAGGUCCAGUGGGUCUCGAUCUAUCAUCAGGACUCCAUCCGGGAAGUACUCGAGUGCAUCGGAUUACUUGAGAGGAUAUACUCCGCAAGAGGCGCCCGUCAUGGAAGAGGACUAUGGUAAACGUGGUUAUUAUUCCAAACAAUAGGCUCGGGCGAAUAUUUUCACUCACCAACCAGUGUCGACUGAGCUGUUACAAAAAUCACCAGGAGAGAUACUACGUAAAGUUAAAAGACUGAUGCACCUUUUGUCCAAAUACAUUUUACUUACAUUCUU